GAGUUUGAUCCUGGCUCAGAUUGAACGCUGGCGGCAUGCCUAACACAUGCAAGUCGAACGGCAGCAUAAGUUCUAGCUUGCUAGAACGGGUGGCGAGUGGCGAACGGGUGAGUAACGCGUAGGAAUAUGCCUUAAAGAGGGGGACAACUUGGGGAAACUCAAGCUAAUACCGCAUACACUCUGAGGAGUAAAGCUGGGGACCGUAAGGCCUGGCGCUUUAAGAAUAGCCUGCGUCCGAUUAGCUUGUUGGUGAGGUAAAGGCUCACCAAGGCGACGAUCGGUAGCUGGUCUGAGAGGAUGGUCAGCCACACUGGGACUGAGACACGGCCCAGACUC
rnacentral:rRNA from 1 species